UGACCAGAAGGGGCGUGGCUGUGCCCCCCUAAUAUUUUCAAAACUUCUAAGGAAAAUGACCAGUAGGGGCGUGGCUGUGCCCCCCCCCCCAAUAUUUUCUUGAUGUUAUUGUAUUGUGCCCACCCCCAACCCCCAUAUUUCGAGGCCUGCUACGGCCCUGUCACUAAAAGCAGUAAAAUUUUUGUAGAGCUAUUUGUCGUUUUCGUAUCGUUUCAGCGUUUUCAGCGGGAAGGUCAUCUCAAAAUGAAAACGCUUCGUUUGAACGCAGAUCUUUUAGAAAUGGAACAAAUAGAGCACGUCUUGCAUUCAGGGCGCAGACAGGGAAAGACUCCAACAGAGAUACAUACCUAAGAAGGAAAUUUUAUCGAUAAAAUAAACACCAAUCAGGGUGUUUCUGGGCACAGAAGAGAUAGCUAUACCCAAGAAGCAAGUCAUGGUGACAUCUGAAUAAUCAACAAGAUAUAUUCCUCAAGAAAAAGCAGAUACAUAGACAUGUAUUACAUUUUCCAUGUGAUUUUAAAUCAUAAACAUUCCUUUGUAAAGGAAACAUGUUUUGUUGCUAUAAGAUUGAUUGAUGUGUUAGUGAAGUGUGUAAAGCAACCAGUCAUAUUUUAUAAACUGCAUUAUAGAUUAUACUUUUGAAUAAACCAAAAAGCUUUCUUUUUUAUCCAUUCAGUUCAAGACUUCUCAUUCUUACAGUAAAAGCAAGUGUAAAUACAGGGAGGAUAUCCAUUGAAUGAAAACAGUAAAAGUCAUGUCUCUA